GGCAGGCUGGUCUCGAACUCCUGACCCCAAGUGAUCCACCUGCCACGGUCCCCCAAAGUGCUGGGAUUGCAGGCAUGAGCCACCGCACCUGGCCUCUCAGCCACAUUAUUGAUCUGCUCACCAUGUCCUCCCUCCCCCCAGUCAUUGUCCCCAAACUAACAUGAGCUUCCCAAAGCCCACAGAGUUUGCCAUGGCUUCGGGAACACUCAGACUCUUGCCUACUCCUCCAGCCUGGCACCAAAGAGGCACCCCCCACACAAAAUUUGCUGAAUGAAGGACUGAGUGAUGUCAUUGGGUCACAGUCAUCUCCUGGGGCUCUCUUGUCCCUUUGACUCCACCUCUCAUCUGCCUGUGUGAAUCUCCCAGUUGGACUGGAAAAAGGUUUAGCUCACCUCUUUAUCCUGCAAGGAAGCUCUGCAGGAAACUCUCCAACUGGACAAUAAGCCCCCUUGCCUUUGCAAAAACAUUUUAAUACCUGUUAUUUUCGGCUGAUUCCCACAGAGAUUGGCAGCACUGAUUUUGAAGGCCACGUGUACUCCAGAUUCUUGUCACCAGCAGCACCACUGCCCCACCUUGCGUGUUGUUCCCACUGAGCUGUGAGUCCCAGGACAGAUGCUACACUUCUCACCCUGUGCCCCAGCUCCAGUCGCACACACUGGUCCAAUGUGGGCUGGCACAGAAGACUGCAGGCCUGGGGGUGCCCAGCACUGGGACUGGAGGUCAGAACACCUGACUUCAAAGUCUGGUUUGAGCCCGUUCUGUGUGCCCUUGGCCUCCUCCUCCCCCCACUACUCCCCAUCACUCUCCCAGGCUGAAUGUGAGGGAAUCACUGAAACCCCCUGGCCAGCCCCCACUGCAGCGUGGCCUUGAGGAGCAGAGGCCACCCCUGAGAGCAGGAGGUCCUGGAUUCACGUCCUGAAGCCACCGUUUCCUGGUGGGGUGACCUGGAACUCUUGAUUCUCUUUCCUCCCUGGAAUUCCCCAUUACCUCGUCACACCCUCACAUCCACCCUGUAAGGUUGGUACUUUAGGAUCCCCAUUUAACAGCUAGAGAAACAGAAGCUCAGGGAAACUAAAGAGUUCCUGCCUUGGAAGGUUGGGAGGAUGAAAUGGGUUCCAUGUGCAAGUUGCUUGGCCCAGUACCUGAGGACAAGGGAUGGUUAGUAAACAAGUCCCUGUGCGCUCCCUCCUCCUUUGUCCUCCCUUUGUUUCUGGGCUACGAUUCACACCUGGGUUACGGGGGCUCCACAAAUCCUGUAUUUUCUAGGCACCAGAGGGCUGUCAGAACAGGGACAGGGGAGCUGGAAUGGGGUCAUGGAGAAGUCAAUCAGGGAGGCCACUCAAGUGUCUCCACCUGUGGAUACUCAUGCUGGCCCCUGGAUGCAGAUGUGUGCAGCAGGCGAAGGAGCUGAGGCUGGGGAGAGGUAUCCCAGGCAGAAGGAAAGGCAAGAGCAAGAGAGCAGGGCAUUCAUGGGUGGCUGUGAGGAGCCACUUGCCAGACACCAGUGACCGAUCAGCUCCAGAGGAUGUGCUGUGGUCAGAGAUGCCCCACCUGUCUUGUUCUCGAUAAGGACACCCUGCUUGAUUGAAAAUUAUGGUGGACAUCAACCCAAUGGCCUCAAAUUCCAGCGACCUGCAGAUGGAUACUAGUGUCCUUCAAUAUCAAGAUUCUAGAAUUCUUGCCUCUCUGUUUAUUCAAAUGGAUUAACUGAGAACCUACUGUGCGCAGACAGCAUUCUCAGUGCUGGGAUACACACAUGAACAAGACAAGGUCCUGGCCUUCUUAGUCCAUUUGGGCUACUGUAACAACAUACCUUGGACUGGGUGGCUUAUAAACAACAGAAAUGCAUUGUUGACAGUUCUGGAGACUGGGAAGUCGAAGACCUAAGCACCAGCAGAUUCUGCGUCCGAGCUCUGUGCUUCAUGGUGCCUUCUUGCCACAUCCUCCCAUGGCCGGAGGGCAAAAAGCUCCCUCAGGGCUUUGUUAUAAGGGCAUGAAUCCUGUUCAUGAGGGUGGGGGCCCCACUCUCCCCAAAGACCCCCUCUCAGUACCAUUGGACUGGGGAUUCAGUUUCAACACAUGAAUACGGGGGACGUAGACAUUUAGACCAUGUGGGCUCUAGGAUGGCCGUGAUGCUAAUGAAAGCAAAAACAGUGCAAAUCAGGAAGGCAGGAUUUUCUUCCACUCAAUCCAGUGACAAACUUCUUUUCCUAUCUCAUUUUACAGGCAAGGAGACUGGUCCUUUGCCCAGAUCCCACAGCCAGAGAGGGGCGAGGCAGGGUGGAAACCCUGGUCUGUGUCCCUCAGGCCUGGGCCCUGGGAUGUGUGAGUCUCUUCUGGCUUCUGUAACAAAUGACCACUAACUGGCUAGAAACAGCACAACUGUAGCAUCUUACAGCUCCAGAGGUCAGGAGUUGGAAAUGGGCCUUGCUUGGCUAAACUCAAGGUGUCAGCAGGAGGGCACUCUCCCUGGAGGUCCUAGGGGAGAAUCUUGUUUCUUGCCUUUUCCAGCUUUUAGAGGCUGCUGGAUUUCUUGGCUCAUAGCCGCCUUUUCCAUGUUCAAGACCAGCAGUGGAGCGUCCUUAAAUCUCCCUUUCUGACUCUGGCCCUCCUGUCUCCCUCUUAUGAGGACCCUUGUGAUGAUACCGGCUCCUCCGGAUCAGCCAGGGUCACCUCCUCACUUGGAGAUCCUUGACUUCCUCACUUGGAGAUCCUUGACUUUCUCACAUCUGUAAGUCCCUGCUGCCACAUAAGGAGGCCAGGAUGCUUCUGAUCUUUAAAAGACUAAAGCCCUCCAAACAAGUCUGAGGACACUCCUGGCUUACUUUUGUUUUGGCCACGAAAGUUUGCCAGUAUCCCUGGCCUUCAGGCUGAUGCCCUGGGAGGAUGAAGGGACUGAGUUGGGGAAAUAUCUGUGAAUGGGGGGUGGUGUGGAUUCACAGGUUUCAGGGGUUGGAAUGCCAAUGUCUUUGGGACCCAUUUUUCUGCCUUCCACAGUGUGGAUGGUGGGAAAGCUCCUGGUUCCAGGGCGCAAACUUAGGCUGGUUCUUUGGCCUCUCUGUGCCUCAGUUUAUAUAAUGAGGGUGAGGAGAAUAUCUGUUUUGUGGGGUUGUUGAAGUAGUAAAGGAGUUGGUAAUUGAAAAGUGCUAAACGUAUGCCAGGCACUGUGGACACACGUGCUGUACCUUUUGGGGUUCACAUCCCUCCCCCAACUGCUGCCACCCCACCCAGCCUGGCAUGUAGUGGUGCAAUCACAGCUCACUGAAGCCUUGACUUUCCGGGCUUAAGCCAUCCUCCCACCUCAGCCUCUGGAGUAGCUGGGACCACAGGUGCACACCACGACACCUGGCUAAUUUUUCAAUUUUUUGUAGAGACGGGGUUUUGCCAUGUUGUCCAGGCUGGAAGUCCAUAUGACAUUGAAGUUCUCUUUCAGUUUUGACAUCUGAUCCAUCUAUGGCUGUGUGUGUGACUGUGUGUGUGUGUGUGAUUGUGUCUGUGUAUGAUUGUGUGUGUGUGCACGCAUCUUUAUGGGGACUGAGGGUGGGUGGAACAGAGACUGGGAGAGACACUUUGUGAAAUGUUUAUAUUUUAUGCCUUUUGAUGUAAUUCCAGCCAAACUAGAUCUUAAAUCAUGCAGCAGGAAGCUCCUCAAAAUUUUUAAUUUGUUGUUUUUCUUAGAAAUGAUUAUUUCCACAUUGUGCCCAGAGACACUCGUGUCUCGUCCUGCCUCCCAUCCUUGUGCUGUUCUAAAAGAUCCCCAGGCGGCGGUUGUUUACUGCUGCCAAUCAGGUGGGCUUUGCACAAACCAUGCUUUGGGUCCACCCUGUCGUUCUGUGAAGCUGUAAUAUCUUUGGGGAAGAUUUUACAGCUUGUCCCACAUAAGCUGGGGCUGGGAUGUCAUUUAGAAGAAGGCCAACCUGUAGAUUCCUUGCUAAAAACCACAUGGCAUUUUACAAGACGGGUGGAGAGGGAGAGCUGGGGUUGGGUGUGGGGCAGCAGUGAGCUGGAUUCUUGGGGAAUCUUCUCCGCAUUUAAUUUAAUUUUUGACGUUGAGAGCUUGAUCCUGGUUUUGAAGAACAAUGGAGUACAAGAAGAAAAAGACAUCACAUAAAUUUAAUUAGAAUGGAGGAAAGAGAUGCUUUUGAUCUUUAAGAGACUAAAGCCCCAAACAAAUCCAAAGUGCAUCCGUGGCCUUGAAACUGAUAACCCAGGAGGACGGAGGGACAGAGCUGGGGGACUAUUUGAGAUGGGGUGGAGGGGUGGGUGCAUGAGGGUGGGCUAAUGCAUGACCCACAAGCUGACCUCAAAGGUUAGCUCUUUACAAGCAAGCAAGGACACCAGAGGUUCUGUGAGUGGUGUGGGGAUGCCUCUGAGGGCUGGGCCUGCAGGAAUUUCACACCACGACAAGGCACCAGCGGCAAGAGGGGCUCAGAGAAAGGACUUGAGGCAGCAGUAGCACAGGGUCCCUUUGCACGGGACACCUCCUGAGGGUCGGGAUGGGGGUAAGGGCAUGAAGGUGGGGCUUGGGAGUCAGGCAGAGAUGGGUUCAAAUCCCAGCUAGCAGUGCUGGGAUAAAGCACCUGAGUCUCUGUGUGUCAGUUUCCUCAUCUGUAAAGGGAAGGUGAUUUUAAUUCAUGAUGUUGUUGCAAAGGUGGAGUGAGCUGGUGGGGACAAACAGGCCCAACAAGGCACAGCCGUGGGAUUUCAAGAUGGAAACAGCUUUACUGUUUUUAUCUGAUUCUAACUGGGGUUUCUCAACUCUGACACCCCUAACAUUUCUAUUGGUUGAUUGAUUGAUUGAUUGAGACAGGGUCUUGCUCUGUUGCCCAGAAUGAGGUGCAGUGGCACAAUCAUGGCUCACGGCAGUCUCUU